rnacentral:lncRNA from 1 species
AAGGAUGCGAUUACGGUGGGUGUUCGAGAGUUCGUCGGGAGUCUAGACGUUCGUCGGAAGUUCUAGAGGAACUAGUCGAGAAGUCUCAGAGCUUGCCUGAGAAGCUCAUUGCAACUCACCAAGAAGAUCAUUAUGAAGUCCAAGAGCUUGCCGGGAGUCCACCGGAACAUUGUCGAGAGAUCGUUGGAAGUUCGCCGAAAGAUCACCAGAAGCUCGCCGGAAGAAUA